GGGGGAUCAGCCCACAUCUCCUAGUUUCUCGGCAGCCUAUGAGACGACUUGUUGAAGCUCAAAGAUUUGGG
rfam:TPA: Bos taurus chromosome 22, whole genome shotgun sequence.